AAGGGAAAAAGAGAUUUGAAAUCAACAAUAUACAAAUCAAUAAAUAAAUUAUACACAAAUCAACAAAAUAAGAACAUGCCACAGAAAAUAAGAACACAAGAGAGAGAGAAAUUUGAGUGAAUACUCUUAAGAAUUAUUAUUACUCCCAACUCCCAGUGUUUUACAAUGAAGGGAGAGGCCUCUAUUUAUAGUUGGGCCUCCCCAAAUCCAACGGUACAGAUCAAUUAUAUCAACGGCUAAGAUUAAAGGGUAUCUACAAAUUAAAUCUCUAAGAUUACAAAAUCAUAUCUUCUAAGAUUGCAUAUCAACCUAAGGUUGCAUAUCCUUGAAGAUUAUGUUUCCAUAAGCUUGUAGAUGGACCUUCAACCUUUUCAAGUAAUGGGCCAUUCCGAUCGGGCCAAACAAUAUAAUUUUGUACUAGACUUGGACUUUGUUUUGUUAUUUUGGGUUUAUUAUUUUUUUGUGAGCCCGGGCUAAAUUGGCCUAUUACAUAGAUGAACUCCUCUUUUCCAAUAAGCUAGUUAUAGCUACCAAGGACGCCUCAGACACCAACUCUUCCUUGUGUAAAUUAGUUAUGGAACAUCCAAUAACUAACCCUUACCUAUCGAACAACGAACGAAACGUUUGUGAUUUAGAACUCCAACAGCUUUGCGUUCUAGAGCGCCUAGCUCGAACCAAUGCCCUUAACCGCGUGGGACAUUUAAAUCUAGUUACUACUUCCCUUGACGGAACCAAACAACAAUCUCCACUUGGCAUGCCAAUGUGUUCACAGAAAAUCGAUUAGACAAUCGAUCAUUUUGGAAUUCCAACUGUACGUCUAACCACACUAAAUCAAACGACGUCUUUUUUGACUUUGUGUUGAUUUGACUUUGUGAGUUGACAAAAUCAUACUCUUAAUCUGGAGAAAUAAUAAGUACUGGAAUUUAGGAGUUAAAUUGCUUGGGUUCAUAACUCUCGGAUCUUGACGAGGCUAACUCCGACCUAAAGCUAAAAAUAGAUUUAGUUGAUUAAGGUUUGGGACAUGUUGGUAUUGGUCAUAAUUGGAGAAGAUUGAAUAAAUGAUAAAAAUGAAAAUAAAUGGGCGAAGGUGACGCAAGGUUUGAGUGCUAAAGCUAGAAACUAAUAGAUGGAAAAAUAUAAGAAAUUGAUUUCGGCAACUAAAUUUGCAAAAAGGAAAGAAAAGACUGAAUUGCAAGAGAAAUAAGCUUGAUCGAAAACUUGAUUAAUGACUUCAUUC
rnacentral:lncRNA from 1 species